GGACUACCAGGGUAUCUAAUCCCGUUUGCUCCCCACACUUUCGCAUUUCAGCGUCAGGUGCAGCCCAGUCGGUCGCCUUCGCCACUGAUGUUCUUCCCGAUCUCUACGCAUUCCACCGCUACACCGGGAGUUCCACCGACCUCUCCUGCCCUCCAGUCGUACAGUCUCCUCACGCCUCCCCCAGUUGAGCCAGGGGCUUUCAGUAAGGACUUGUCCAACCGCCUACAUGCGCUUUACGCCCAGUGAAUCCGGAUAACGCUCGCCUCCUACGUCUUACCGCGGCUGCUGGCAC
rnacentral:rRNA from 1 species